ensembl:lncRNA
GUUUUAGCAAUAGUUUCAUACAGUCCCUAGAUGUAUGGCUUUCAUGUACAAAAGUAAAGAUGUAUAAAUUUAUGCUCAGCUUAAGUCCAUUACUUGUAUGACUGUUAACCUUAGACAGGGUUAUAGGUCUUACCCUGUAUACAGUACAGAACAAGUCUCAGCACAGUGCAGAUGUUGUGUGACAAGCAGUCAAUAGCAACUGUACUUCCUGUUUUUGUAUCCACCCCCUAAUAUUUAAAGAUCAACCUCUCAAGAAACAAAGCAAAUUAAGACAUAUCUGAUGUGAUCAUGGAAAUACUCCAAACAACCCGUCAACAAAUCAGAAAAUAUCUACUGCUGUUUUUACUUUCAGCAUCAGGUGUUAUCUGUCAAGAUUGGAUUCGACCAAGUGACCAGAGGACCAGUGUUUCCAGUACAGAAGGAGAUCCUGUAACACUGGUGUGUUCAUAUGACACAAGCAGCAGCUAUGUUAUCCUUUAUUGGUACAGACAGUUUUCUAAAACACAGCCAGAAUUUGUGCUGGCAAUGGGUGGACGAUCACAGACAUAUGAUGACAUACCAGACCCUGAUAAAUUUGGAUCAACUACAUCCCAGAAAUCCACUUCACUGACCAUUAAAAGUGUAACUCUGUCAGAUUCAGCUCUUUAUUACUGUGCUCUAAGAGUAACAGCCCAGUGUUACAAAGUGCCUGAGAGGCUUUACAAAAACUCACUCAGAAAACUUGCUUUGAACAGUGAGUUAUCAAAUGAAUAUCAGACCACCUUUGUGUCUUCAUAAACCACAAAGUCAAACUGAAGGAUAUGGUAAAACCUGCAGCAAAUAAAUUAACAGCUGCAUGUAGCCUACAGUAAACAACAUCUGAUGUAAAUGGGGUAAUUUUAGUGAUUAAAUAAUUAGUAAGCCCUCUGUAUUAUCAGCAAAGCUCUGCAUGGAUUAUUAGCAUGACAUUAAUAUUACGUAACUUACAUUUUUGUCAUAAUAUUGCCUGUUGUUUUUGCUAUUUUGCUCUGCCAGGUGCCAACUCAAAUAUUUCCAAAUUAAGCCACAAAAGAAUCACUGCAUCUCCCAGCAACACACAGUUAGGGAAGUUUGUGAAUGAUUCAAUAAAGAAAUUUUUCAUUCCUGAAUGAAUCAGCAUUUUAAAUUAAUCAGUUGAAUUAAUAAUUGAAUGACUCACUCAAAGAAAUCAAUACAGCAUUUUGAUGAGGUACUUCAUGAUGGGAUGAGCAAAUCAGACACUAAUUGUAACACCCUUUGCAUUUAUAAGGAGAUUUGUGAAUAAUCACUGUGCACAUUGAAAAUUACCAAACCACACUUUUCAUCUGUCUCACAUUUCUGGCAGGUACAAACACACUAUUACUUUAGCAUCAAUCAAACAGUUAAGCAUUUGUUUGCUUAAACAUACAUUGAUAUUUUUACAGAAAUCACUUUCUGUGCUCAUAUUGCACCAAAGAGAAAAACUGUCAUCAGUACAGAGGGGGAAUCUUUGUUUUUAUGAAUCAAGCAGCUCUCAUGUUUUGCUCUUCUGUGGUUGGCUGAUCACAGGGACAGGCACCUGAGUUUUUGUUACUCAAAGGUGCACGAUCAGAGAAAUGGUUUCAAAGCAUACAGUAGAUCAGGCACGUGCACAGAUAGGGCUCAACCUGUGCAGAACACAUGCCCUUUUUGCCAUUACACUCCGAAGUGCCCUUUUUUUUUGGUGGUGUUUUUUUAAUUUUAUUUUUUAUCAAUGCUAUUGGUCACCCUUUACGUCUGUCUGUCUUUUUACAAAUAUUUCACAAAUGAAAGUUCUUAAAACGAGCUCAUGCAAAUCUUAUUCGAUCCUCAAGCUGUCAGUAAGUUCAUAACUCCGCCCCCUCUAUAUUAAUUGAAUCAACUGAAGUUCCAAAGCAGCCGCACAGUAGACAACAGCUGAGCUGAACAAAGUUUUGCGAAGGGUAUAUAAAUAUCUUGUUGUUAUGUCUAUAAAGGCUUAUAUUUUAUUUAUUUGAGGUCUGACUGACUCACUGCCUGAGACAUGUGGGACAUCACUUGAGAGAGAGGGCUAGCAUUUGCCAUCCAAUACAUAGCCAACACUUAAAUAGCCUGUGCAUACAGUAGCAUUUCAUCUUUUAUAAAAUGCGAUUUGGCCAAAUGCAUUUUACCACAGGAAAAACUGAGCGCUCCGUCUAUAUAGCUACAAAAACUAGUUUGUAACCUGUAGAUGCAGGUGCCGUCGCCGUUUUAAUGACGGACAAAAAAAAUCAAAUUUGCACACAUUCGCUGGUCAAAAACUAUAUAUUGAUAAGUAAUACAACAACAUAUAAUUUGUUUUUACCAUCGGAAAAUCAUAACAGGUGCGCCCCCGCGCUGUUUCGUAGGCCUACUGGAACUUAAGGCUGGUUCACACGGCAGGAUAAUUAGGCCGAUUUUAGCCCGAUUCACCCCUUCCGACAAUCUUAGGAUGCUCCGAUUAUCGUAAAAUAAUCUGAUCAAAUAUUCCUGCCGUGUGUGGUGUGUUAAAACUGCUCUCCUCUGCUCGGAAGAAUGUCGGGACCGCUCCGAUCUCAAAUCGGGGAUAUCCAACAUUUUGGAUUUAUUUGGCCCGAUUUCUUCUCGUGUGUGGUGUCCCCCGAGGACAAACAAUCACCCAGCCUGUGGACUGUGGCGUGUAGCCAAUCAGAAAGCGAGGUGACGAGGCAGUGAUAGUACCGGGAAACAAAUCAAAACAGCCGGCGUAUAUAAUAUAACAAAUAUAACAAAUACAAAUAAAGUCGAUGGGCAUAACUACAUCCAAAACUGCAGUCCACCAGAGUACAUGGAAACGAAUAUAUGAACGUUUAUUUCAACGGUUAUUAAUCUGUGUAGUACGUAACAACAUUUCUAUGAGAUAAAACAACAACUUAUCUCCAUAUUAUGAUAUAGCAAGUAUAGUCCAUGCUCGCGUUGUCUCCACCUCUUUGAACAUCGCCUUUUCUUGUUUUUCUUAUGUUUUUUUUUUGUUAAAAAAAAGCACAAACUAUGGCCACUGCAUCCUCUUCGUCCGCCAUGGUUGUUUACUCUAAAGGCACGUUUGAUCUUGAGAGAUUUUGCGAGAUUUCCCGUCUGACCUGGGAAUGCUCGG